rnacentral:rRNA from 1 species
CAGCCGCCACGGUAAUACGUAGGGGGCUAGCGUUGUUCGGAAUUACUGGGCGUAAAGCGCACGUAGGCGGCUUUAUAAGUCAGAGGUGAAAGUCUGGAGCUCAACUCCAGAAUUGCCUUUGAGACUGCAUCGCUUGAACGUCGGAGAGGUGAGUGGAAUUCCGAGUGUAGAGGUGAAAUUCGUAGAUAUUCGGAAGAACACCAGUGGCGAAGGCGGCUCACUGGACGACUGUUGACGCUGAGGUGCGAAAGCGUGGGGAGCAAACAGGAUUAGAUACCCCUGUAGUCCCUGUCUCUUAUAC